GCGUUUUACCUCCAGCAUGGUUCGGGAGGUCUGGUCCCUGAACUCCACCCUGAUUGGGAUGUAAUCAAUCUCAGGUGAUGGAGGACUGAGGUGCUGGUACUUCAGACCUGAAGCUCAGAAUCCGGCAUUGAUUCAGGAACCUCAACGACCAGUUGACCAAGCAUUGGGACAUUGAUCUCAGAGCUGAGAAGACGUACCGUGCAGAUCACAUCGGGCUGGGUUUUAAAGACCCUCAGCAUGACAGUGUCCUCCUCUAGAAGUGGACUGCCAUUGUGAACAUACUUCACCUCGUCCGGAAAGAACUGGCAGUCAAAAACCUUGAAAAUGGUACAACAACAA
rnacentral:lncRNA from 1 species